rnacentral:snoRNA from 1 species
AGAGUCAAAAACGUUGAGAUCUUGUGGACAAAGACUUAUAGAUAGGCGCAAAACAUAAAUCCUCUUUUGCAACCCAAACUAAUUGUUCAGUAUGAGUUUUGAUACAUAUAAGAAGGGAUAUU